UACUAUGACCAUACCACCCUAAAGAUGCCCAAUCUCAUCUGAUCUUGCAAGCUAAGCAGGGUAGGGCCUGGUUGACAUCUAUAGCUUGACCUCUGGAUUGUAUACAGUAA
rnacentral:rRNA from 1 species